CCUAAGAGGACAAGUGUCCUGAUCAAAGAAGAGGAGGGUAACUUGAUUUUGCAAGCAAAGGGAGAGACCAACGCACAGGGUCCUAGACACAUUUGCGCUGACCUCAAAAAGUUUGGGAGGGGGCAGGGAAGAAGCGGGGAGCUCCGGUACCUUUUUUGGACUCUGAGCUCGGUUAGGUGCAGAACUCAGCGCUCUGUGCUGCCAGACCGAGUCUUCUCCGAAACGGGCAGCCUGGCGGGGAGGCAGGCACACGUCCCUCGCUCUCCGCGAGUCAGCCGCGGAGUCAGCCGAGAGGAGACCCAGGCGCUGGGCGCUGCCUCCUGCUGACCCGCUGCCUGCAGCACCGAAAGAGCCGAGAGCACGCAGGAGCCGCGCGGGACCCGCAAGGGGACCGGCAAUCUGUGCUCCUCUAGAAGCGGAGGAUGGCGAGGAGAGCCCACGAGAAGAAUAAAAGGUCUCAGAAAGCUACAAGCCCCCAGAUCUUCUUUAGACCAAAAUGCUUAAUUGAAAAUAACAUGAAUUCAAGCUCAAAGGCCAUUAAGGAGCAGACCUAUGGACAAAAAAUAUUUUGGAAAACGAUUGCUUCUUCUCCCUUUCCCCAAAGCCCGUCUAGUCAGGCAGCCAGGAGUGCCUGAGGAAUAUUACACACAUCCCAUCUGGAGAAAGGGGUGCCAUGUGCUCGUUUGUACUUUGCCCUCAGCCUACCUUAUGCUCCCUCAUCAAAAGCCUUUUGCAGACCCAACAGGAAGAGACAUAAGUUGUAUUCUCAACGGGAAGAAACCUACUCUACUAGCCUAGCAAAAGGAAGGAAGACUUCUUCCUUGCCCAGCAACAGUUCAACCAAUGAAAGUCUGUCACAACUCAGAGAGUGAAAAGCCACUAGACUCUGAACCCCUAGUCUACUCUCAUGGACUUUUUGUUGAUAACAGCCCCUCCCAACUUCCCUCUUUUCUCUAUAAAAGAGGCUUCUCUCCUUUGUGCUCCAGACUUUGACGACUUUUCAGACUAUGCCUUUUACUAUAGCUUGCUUACCCUGUAUUGUAUUUCCUCUGCUAUUCUUAAAUAAACCCAUUUUGCUGUAA